rnacentral:rRNA from 1 species
GACAGAGGGUGCAAACGUUGUUCGGAAUUACUGGGCGUAAAGCGUGUGUAGGCGGCUCUGCAAGUCGGAUGUGAAAGCCCUGGGCUCAACCCAGGAAGUGCACUCGAUACUGCAGAGCUUGAGUAUCGGAGAGGUUGGUGGAAUUCUCGGUGUAGAGGUGAAAUUCGUAGAUAUCGAGAGGAACACCGGUGGCGAAGGCGGCCAACUGGACGAAUACUGACGCUGAGACACGAAAGCGUGGGGAGCAAACAGG